CCAGACUUUGAUUAUGGCUCAGGAUGAACGCUAGCUCCAGGCUUAACACAUGCAAGUCGAGGGGCAGCAUGGACCCAGCUUUGCUGGGUUUGAUGGCGACCGGCGCACGGGUGAGUAACGCGUAUCCAACCUGCCCUUUACUCCGGGAUAGUCUCCUGAAAGGGAGUUUAAUACCGGAUGUGUUUGUCUUUCCGCAUGGGAGCGACAAAUAAAGAUUAAUUGGUAAAGGAUGGGGAUGCGUCCCAUUAGCUUGUUGGCGGGGUAACGGCCCACCAAGGCGACGAUGGGUAGGGGUUCUGAGAGGAAGGUCCCCCACAUUGGAACUGAGACACGGUCCAAACUCCUACGGGAGGCAGCAGUGAGGAAUAUUGGUCAAUGGGCGGGAGCCUGAACCAGCCAAGUAGCGUGAAGGACGACGGCCCUACGGGUUGUAAACUUCUUUUAUAAGGGAAUAAAGUUCGCCACGUGUGGUGUUUUGUAUGUACCUUAUGAAUAAGCAUCGGCUAAUUCCGUGCCAGCAGCCGCGGUAAUACGGAAGAUGCGAGCGUUAUCCGGAUUUAUUGGGUUUAAAGGGAGCGUAGGCGGGCUUUUAAGUCAGCGGUCAAAUGUCGUGGCUCAACCAUGUCAAGCCGUUGAAACUGUAAGCCUUGAGUCUGCACAGGGCACAUGGAAUUCGUGGUGUAGCGGUGAAAUGCUUAGAUAUCACGAAGAACUCCGAUCGCGAAGGCAUUGUGCCGGGGCAUAACUGACGCUGAGGCUCGAAAGUGCGGGUAUCAAACAGGAUUAGAUACCCUGGUAGUCCGCACGGUAAACGAUGAAUGCUCGCUAUGGGCGAUAUAUUGUCCGUGGCCAAGCGAAAGCGUUAAGCAUUCCACCUGGGGAGUACGCCGGCAACGGUGCAACUCAAAGGAAUUGACGGAA
rnacentral:rRNA from 1 species